rnacentral:rRNA from 1 species
GAGUUUGAUCCUGGCUCAGAUGAACGCUGGCGGCGUUCUUAACACAUGCAAGUCGAACGAUGAUGCCCAGCUUGCUGGGUGGAUUAGUGGCGAACGGGUGAGUAACACGUGAGUAACCUGCCCCUGACUCUGGGAUAAGCCUGAGAAAUUGGGUCUAAUACUGAUACGAGCAUCUACCGCAUGGUGGGUGUUGGAAAGAUUUUUUGGUUGGGGAUGGACUCGCGGCCUAUCAGCUUGUUGGUGAGGUAGUGGCUCACCAAGGCGACACGGGUAGCCGGCCUGAGAGGGUGACCGGCCACACUGGGACUGAGACACGGCCCACACUCCUACGGGAGGCAGCAGUGGGGAAUAUUGCACAAUGGGCGAAAGCCUGAUGCACGACGCCGCGUGAGGGAUGACGGCCUUCGGGUUGUAAACCUCUUUCAGUAAGGAAGAAGCGAAAGUGACGGUACUUGCAGAAGAAGCGCCGGCUAACUACGUGCCAGCAGCCGCGGUAUACGUAUGGCGCGAGCGUUAUCCGGAAUUAUUGGGCGUAAAGCCCGCGUAGCCUUUCUUAAGUCUGAUGUGAAAACCCACGGCUCACCGUGGAGGGUCAUUGGAAACUGGGGAACUUUGAGUGCCAAAAGAGAUGGAAUUUCAUGUGUAGCGGUGAAAGCCAAGAUAUGGAGGAACACCA